CUAAAACCGGAGCGUUGUACAUCUCCCCACUCAUCUCUGUAGAAACACAGCAAAUCGUCGUUUCUUCUUUUAAAUAAUUCAGAGCUCUUAAAACCUACAGUAUCACAAUUCUGACAUUCUUUUCGGUCAAACAGAAACUUUAUAAAUUACUUUGAACCAUUUCACGAGUCAUAAACUCUUCCUGUAUAUCCUUCAGGGAGCGUCCUUUAGUUUCAGUGUUGCAGCAUAAAUACUGACUGUCAUGGUAGCAAAAGCUUUGACAUUGCUUGGAAAUAUUUCUGAGAGAACAGUAAACGCAGUUAAAUCAAUGCUAUGACUAAGAACAUAUCCAAUAAUGAAUGCAAGAGGAAGCCAAGAGUUUGAUGUAGAAUCAAAAAACAUAGCUGAAAUUCUUUGAAAAUAUAAAGGAAUGAUGAAUGUCAGUGAUGAAAGAACUGAAACAUUGUAAUUGAUUAUUAAUAAUUUUAUUAUUCAUCAUCUGUUUAUCUUGCUGAUACUAUAAUGCGAAACCUCAAUGAUUCUUUUAUACUGGCGAUAUACAUAUACCCAGAAAAUAUACUGUGCAAAAGUCAUCUUUAACACAUAUAUGCAUUAGAAGUUGUCUUUUUGGAAUCUUAUAGAUGACUUUAGGAUUUGCGUAUUGUCUGUGUAAUUAUAAUAUAUAAUUAUUAUUAAAUGCUUUGAACUUU